rnacentral:misc_RNA from 1 species
GAUGAAGAACGUAGCGAAAUGCGAUAAGUAAUGUGAAUUGCAGAUUUCCAGUGAAUCAUCGAGUCUUUGAACGCACAUUGCGCCCCCUGGUAUUCCGGGGGGCAUGCCUGUCCGAGCGUCAUUGCUGCCCUCAAGCACGGCUUGUGUGUUGGGCCUCCGCCCCCCGGCUCCCGGGGGGCGGGCCCGAAAGGCAGCGGCGGCACCGCGUCCGGUCCUCGAGCGUAUGGGGCUUCGUCACCCGCUCCGUAGGCCCGGCCGGCGCCCGCCGGCGACCCCCCUCAAUCUUUCCAGGUUGACCUCGGAUCAGGUAGGGAUACCCGCUGAACUUAAGAAUAUCAAUAAGCGGAGGA